rnacentral:rRNA from 1 species
UUGAACCGCAUGGUUCAAAAGUGAAAGACGGUCUUGCUGUCACUUAUAGAUGGAUCCGCGCUGCAUUAGCUAGUUGGUAAGGUAACGGCUUACCAAGGCAACGAUGCAUAGCCGACCUGAGAGGGUGAUCGGCCACACUGGAACUGAGACACGGUCCAGACUCCUACGGGAGGCAGCAGUAGGGAAUCUUCCGCAAUGGGCGAAAGCCUGACGGAGCAACGCCGCGUGAGUGAUGAAGGUCUUCGGAUCGUAAAACUCUGUUAUUAGGGAAGAACAUAUGUGUAAGUAACUGUGCACAUCUUGACGGUACCUAAUCAGAAAGCCACGGCUAACUACGUGCCAGCAGCCGCGGUAAUACGUAGGUGGCAAGCGUUAUCCGGAAUUAUUGGGCGUAAAGCGCGCGUAGGCGGUUUUUUAAGUCUGAUGUGAAAGCCCACGGCUCAACCGUGGAGGGUCAUUGGAAACUGGAAAACUUGAGUGCAGAAGAGGAAAGUGGAAUUCCAUGUGUAGCGGUGAAAUGCGCAGAGAUAUGGAGGAACACCAGUGGCGAAGGCGACUUUCUGGUCUGUAA